rnacentral:rRNA from 1 species
AUGGACCAUUCCAUCCCUUUUUCCCGUGCAUAUGCAUCGGACUCGGAUGACGAUGGUCCCGAUGAACAAGUUGAUGCGGAGGGGUUCACGGUGAAGGAGGCCGAAGCUUUCGAGAAGGUAUUUGGUCGGGAUCAUCGGACUACAUUGUUCAAGGAUGUUAGUCUCGCGGAUGAAGCCGUGGUAGAUGGUGGCCAAUGUGUACCUCCUGGGGUUAGGCCAAGCUCUCAC